rnacentral:snRNA from 1 species
GCUUGCUUUGGCAGCGCAUGUACUGAAAUUGUCACAACACAGAGAAGAUUAGCAUGGCUCCAUGCAAGGAUGACAUGCAAACUCGUGAAGAGUUCCAUAUUUUU